GGUGGACACUGCGGACCAGUAUAAAUAUACGGUGAGGAGGUGGACACUGCGGACCAGUAUAAAUAUACGGUGAGGAGGUGGACACUGCGGACCAGGUGAGGAGGUGGACACUGUGGACCAGGUGAGGAGGUGGACACUGCGGACCAGUAUAAAUAUACGGUGAGGAGGUGGACACUGCGGACCAGUA